rnacentral:rRNA from 1 species
UACGUAGGGUGCGAGCGUUAAUCGGAAUUACUGGGCGUAAAGCGUGCGCAGGCGGUUUUGUAAGCCAGAUGUGAAAUCCCCCGGGCUUAACCUGGGAAUGGCAUUUGGGACUGCAAGGCUGGAGUACGGCAGAGGAGACUGGAAUUCCUGGUGUAGCAGUGAAAUGCGUAGAGAUCAGGAGGAAUACCGAUGGCGAAGGCAGGUCUCUGGGCCAUUACUGACGCUGAGGAGCGAAAGCGUGGGGAGCGAACAGGAUUAG